AAUAGAGAAACAGAGAUAAGGAGCAAAAGAAAGAGAGAAACACUAGAGAGAGGGAAGGAGAAGAUGGGGGUGGAGGUGCAGGAAGAGGAGGAGGAGUGCUCAGGAGGGCCCAUAUGCUACUGCUUCUCGUUGAGUGGGUGCACAGGAUUAGAGUCAGAGGACGCGGAUGUCUCAGGGGAAGGGGGACUCCUCACAUUGUCUCUCUAGAAGAUGUUGACGCUCAGAGCAAUGUAGUAUCUGUGUGAACAAAGAGGACAGAAGCAUAUAUCAGAUGUGGAACACUAGGUUGGGAUAAACAAAUUGGUGGUUGGAAGUUCAGAUUCAGCCUCUUAUGCAGGAAUCAACAUCAAUUUUGCUUCAGAUGGGAUAGUUGUGAGUGAACACUUCCACCAAAGCUGAGGAAGUGAGGAGUCGUAUUGCUUUAGGCACCACGCGCCAGUAUGAAAUGCAAAGACUGAAACAGGUACCGGUGGAAGGUUCAGGAAAUUUUAAUUCGCGUUCUGUUUGGCAUGGUAGAUGUAAGCAAGUCUUUCCAUGUUGGAGCACUCUUCAAUGAAUAGGAAGUAUCAUAUUGUUGAUUAUCUGUAAGGGUACAGGGACACCACCUCCUAACCCUUUAAGCUCUGUCAGAUAUAUUUUAUUCUAACUUCGUGUAUACUUCUUGCAAAAGAGGGUGAAGCUUAAAUGAGUUUUGGCGUGAUUUUCAA